AGUUUGCGUUGAAAUAAACAGAACGGUGGCAACUGCAGCAGCAGAGUAAUAACGCUAUUCCACGUUGAUUGCAUGUGGUGAGUAAAAGUGGUUGUGUAAAAAUCUUAUAAUAUUAAAUGCGAUGUUCGAUCAUUUAUUUAUCCAUGGUACGUUCAAUUUGAAUAAUUAUUGUUAAUAGUUGUUAUAAAUUGCUCAUUUUAUUGUUCUUUGUGGAUUGUAACAGUACACUCUGUACAUGGCUUUAGUUCUUAGGUUUGAUUUUACAGAGGAUGAGAUGAUCAGUAGGUGGUGGUGUUCUGUUCUCCUGGACAGCUUCACUCCGCAAAUAGCUCAACCACUGAGGGGAGGAACUUCACCAUUCAAAAGACAGUGUCUUCAGGCAGAGUCCAGCAAAGCAGAUGGCUUAGGGAUGUGGUCACUCAAGAAGUUUUCCGGAAAGCGGCACACUUUGCCUGGCUAGACAUUGUGGCCAACUGGAAGAAUUGUCCUCCUGUCUACCGGAACGAGUUCAGACGGAUGUACAGCAUCAGGGAAUGCUUGCAGUGCAGAGCCCUUUUCAAGUUUAACCCACCAGGGUACAGGGAAGAGGCCGGCGUGGUGAUCUUCUGGGCUUUUGUUUACACAGGAUUUUGUUCCAAGGGCCGUUUUUUUUUUUUUUUUGCGGCAUGAAACACAUUUGUGUGUCCAUUGAAGGGAAAUAGAGAAUGAACUGAGAUCAACUGGUUUUGAUGUAUUAAUUGAUGUCAUUUAAAGUUAAACUUUGCAGUGUAUAAUGUUUUAAUAAAAAAGCUAUGGCAAACACGUGCAUGACAACAGGUUUCAGUCAUUUACAUCAGUCUAUCAUUCUUUAAGGUUUCUCAUAUUUGAUGGUAACAUCAUUUGCUAUGCAUUGCUCAUAAUGAAUUCUUAAUUUAGUUGUGACAAUUCGGUGUAAUUUUUCAAUUACCA